rnacentral:rRNA from 1 species
GGAUGCGAUCAUACCAGCACUAAAGCCCCGGAUCCCAUCAGAACUUCGAAAUUAAGCGUGCUUGGGAGAGAGUAGUACUAGGAUGGGUGACCUCCUGGGAAGUCCUCGUGUUGCAUUCCC